GGGGACAUAACUCAAUGGUAGAGCACUUGCCUAGCAUGUGUGAGGCACUGGGUUCAAUCCCUAGUGUUGCCC
rfam:Ictidomys tridecemlineatus contig099336, whole genome shotgun sequence.